rnacentral:rRNA from 1 species
AUUGAACGCUGGCGGCAGGCCUAACACAUGCAAGUCGAGCGAGCGGCGGACGGGUGAGUAAUGUCUGGGAAACUGCCUGAUGGAGGGGGAUAACUACUGGAAACGGUAGCUAAUACCGCAUACCAUCAGAUGUGCCCAGAUGGGAUGAGCUGGUUGGUGGGGUAACGGCUCACCAAGGCGACGAUCCCUAGCUGGUCUGAGAGGAUGACCAGCCACACUGGAACUGAGACACGGUCCAGACUCCUACGGGAGGCAGCAGUGGGGAAUAGUGCGCAAUGGGCGCAAGCCUGAUGCAGCAAUGCCGCGUGUGUGAAGAAGGUCUUCGGGUUGUAAAGCACUGUCAGCGGGGAGGCGUUACCCGCAGAAGAAGCACCGGCUAACUCCGUGCCAGCAGCCGCGGUAAUUC